GUUCAUCCAUAUAUGGGAAUUCUACCUUGUAUACUCUGCCGCUGGUUUCAAGUCAUGAGCAGUUAGAGAUUACCAGGCUGAACUCAAGAAAUGUGAAUAAGCAAGAAAGCUUCUGAAGAGAUCAGUGCAUAAUCUCUUAGGCAACUGCUACUGCAAUUGAGUCCUUUCCAAGAACCGGCGGUGCCCGUUAUGACUCCCAUGGGUGGUUCUACCACAACCAUCAAACCUUCAAAUUCUGAAGAUAACAAGCAGCCCAAAUCCAAGAAGAAAACUAAUUUAGUUAUGCCAAGACUGCUGUUUUUUGUGUAUCUUUGUUCCAACUUUGCAUUGACACCAUGUAUGCUUGGACAAUGUUUAUAUGUUCCUUUGAUUUUCA